rnacentral:rRNA from 1 species
GACGGAGGAUCCGAGCGUUAUCCGGAUUUACUGGGUUUAAAGGGUGCGUAGGCGGGCGCUUAAGUCAGCGGUGAAAUGCGGGGGCUCAACCUUCGAACGGCCGUUGAUACUGGGCGCCUUGGAUUCGGUCGAGGCGGGCGGAAUGCGACAUGUAGCGGUGAAAUGCUUAGAUAUGUCGCAGAACGCCGAUUGCGAAGGCAGCUCGCCGGGCCGAUAUUGACGCUGAGGCACGAAAGCGGGGGGAUCGAACAGGAUUAGAUACCCUGGUCGUCCACGCCGUAAACGAUGAUGGCUGGAUGUUGGCGAUACACCGUCAGCGUCUGAGGGAAACCAUUGAGCCAUCCACCUGGGGAGUACGACCGCAAGGUUGGA